ACUUGAGGUUUCUAAGUUCCUGCCUUUGGGCUGUUAUGGGACUGCCCCUCCGUCGGGAAGCUGGCACAGUCCGACCCUCCGCCCGUCGCCCAGGGCGAAUGGGAGCGGAAGCCUGGCACACCUAGGGUCCCGCCCCCAGCCAGGGUCCCGCCCCGUGCGAUGGCCCCGCCCCCAACCCGGGUCCGGCUCCACGCGGCGCCCCCGCCCCGCCCUCCCGCCACCCCCCUCCCAUCCCUCAGACGUCAAGCGUGAGCUGCGGAGAGCCGUGCCGGGACGGCCUGGUGGCGCUCCAGGGACGAGCAGCUUUGUGCUGUCCGUUCACUCCGACCAAACACUGAUGGACCCUCUGCUCGGGCUCCGCCAGGCGCUGAGCACAGCGAGGACGAUUCCCCAGUCCCGUGUCCCAUCUUGUCCAGACACAAUAAACAAUGAACGUUGCGAAUCACUGCGCCGCGUGGUGUGUGAGAAGCUGAUUCGUGCUCUGAUAAAAAGGGCAGAGUCCGGGGCUCCGGAGGCAGGAGGACUGGCCAGUGGUAGUUAGCGGGUGAGACGUGAUGGCGGAGGGAGCAGCCGUGGGGAGAGCUCGGAGAAGCUGCCGGGACCACAGAAGGGAGGCCCGCGAAGUGGGCCCGGGCGGGGAGCGGCACGGGAGGGUCCUGAGCAGGGUGACAGGCGCUGGCUGAUAGGAUCCCCCGGGCGGCAGCGGGUGAACAGAAUGGAGCAGCGGGGGCGGGCCCGGGGGACCAGUGGGGAGGCCUCUUUGGCCAACCCCCCUUCAGGGACCCCCGUGGUGCCGGCUGGGGUGGGGCAGCGCAGGUGCGGGAAGCGAUCCGCUCCUGGUAGAUUAUGAAGACAGAAGCGAGGGGGGCGCGGUUGUUGAGGAGUUGGAUGUGAGAUGCCAGGUAAAAGGGGAAACCAGGAAGGGUUCCUGGAAGCCAGGGGAAGAAGGCGCAUCCAGGAGGACGCCUGUGUGGAGCGAGGUGGGAGUCACCGGUGACCCGGAGGAUAGCAGCGCUGGGGGGCGGGGCAGCUGGAGGCGGUUUAACGAGAAGGCGAGCUGAGUGACGGCCGGCGAGCACCAAGCGGGAAACAAAAGUGGAGGCAGCUGGGAAGAAGGCCACCGAGAGAAGGUUGUUUUGUUUUUUCUUUUUACGAGGGGAGAAAUAACCCGCGUGCUUACAGGAUCCGGAAAGGACUUUGCAGAAAGGAAGAAUGGAUGGUGCCAGAGAGCUUGGUCUCAGACAGUGUCGGCCCUUCUGCACACACAUGCCUACCUGCCAAAGACCACUAGAUAUGAGGACACCGCCCAGCAGAGGAUCCCAAAUCUGGGUGGGUGGGAGCACGCCACUAAAGCUCCUGGGAAGGAAUUGGACAAGCAGCUUGGAGCCCCCUUGGAGCGGGAUCAGCCCCUCCUACCCUCAUCUGCAGCUGCUCUUGGGGCCUGCUGGAAGAUUGUCAUAAUAAACACA